GACGAACGCUGGCGGCGUGCUUAACACAUGCAAGUCGAACGGAAAGGCCCUGCUUUUGUGGGUUGCUCGAGUGGCGAACGGGUGAGUAACACGUGAGAAACCUGCCCUUGACUUUGGGAUAACUUCAGGAAACUGGGGCUAAUACCGGAUAGGAGCUCCUGCUGCAUGGUGGGGGUUGGAAAGUUUCGGCGGUUGGGGAUGGACUCGUGGCUUAUCAGCUUGUUGGUGGGGUAGUGGCUUACUAAGGCUUUGACGGGUAGCCGGCCUGAGGGGGUGACCGGCCACAUUGGGACUGAGAUGCGGCCCAGACUCCUACGGGAGGAAGCAGUGGGGAAUAUUGCAAAAUGGGCGGAAGCCUGAUGCAGCAACGCCGCGUGCGGGAUGACGGCCUUCGGGUUGUAAACCGCUUUCGCCUGUGACGAAGCGUGAGUGACGGUAAUGGGUAAAGAAGCACCGGCUAACUACGUG
rnacentral:rRNA from 1 species